UGCUAUUGACUGUGGUGCUCGUCGACGUUCGCUGUUUACUGCUGUGCUGCCCGCAUGGUCGGUCGUCGCAUAACAAGGAAAAGUGCCGCGACCUGAGAUUUAUUUAGUGUACAACUGUCGUGGAAAACAGACAUCGCUCAAAUUUUUUAGCGGAACAAACCGUGUUUUUUUCUUACAUAUGUACAUAUGUUCAUUUACAUAGAAACAAAUUCACGAAGGUGUAUAAAAAUCAUAUGUGAUCUGCAUUGUCUGUAUACAUGAAGUGUUUGUAGCUAACAGUGGAAAUUAAGUGGAAGAGAAAUUGAACGGUGAUUUGUGUGGAGUUUUGUUUGAAGCAAAUAAGAGCAAAAAAGGAUUGAAAAAAAAAUAACGAAACAAAAAAAUUGACUACUAAAAAUUCCAGCCACGUAGGCGACGAGUAACGAGUGAAUGUGCAGCAAAGCGUGUAAACUAACGACGAACGUGCGAGUAAAAAAAUCAGUAAAAGUGUUAGAAAUUAGCUGGGGAAAUAUGCUGAUAAGGUAACGAAAGGAAGAACAAAAUAGAAGAACAAGCAGGUGUGUGAAGCAAAGCAGAAAAAAAUAUAUAUAAAAAAGAGUAUAAAACAAAAAUAGCAGAACAAAAAACAUAAGAGAAAAAUAAACACUAAAUAAGAGCGGUAAAACAGUGUAAAGCAAAAUAAGCGGAAAACAUUCAACAAGCAAAAAAUUUAAAAUGUACAAGAGAAAGGUUUGAAGUGUUGUGCAUGCUGACUGACGGUGAUUUUUGUACUAAAUGUAAGCAACGGUAACGUGAUAAAUUCAAGGGAAUCAAAAGCUGUGAAUUAAGUGUAAGAAAAGGAGUGUAAGCAACAAAUUAAAAAUUAAAUAAAGUGACCAAUUGUACCUGUAAUUGACAAAUAAGUUAUUUUACUUAGUUAUUAAAAA